AGGCUCAUCAUGCAUUCACGUUAUAUUCCGCUUAUGUUAUGCAUCAUGAUGAUUUAGCAAGUCAUGUGGUUCGCUCGGUCACAUGUAGUCAGGCACCGAGUGCCGUGUUACGUCCAGGCCAUGGUUCGGGGCGUGACAGAAGUGAUCAUAAAUGGUUAGCUUCAAGACUUUGUCGGCAGGUUCUUGACCUGUUGUCAUUCAGAUGCCUGGCCGCUCAAACAAUGAGAUAAAGAACUACUGAAACGCCAAACUAAAGAGACAACAACGUGCAGGCUUGUCCAUGUACCCUCCAGAAGUUCAUUUCCAGACGUUUAGUGAGAACAAACAAAAUAAGGAACUCGACACAUUCUCUUCUGCAAAUGCACAAACAAAAUAACAAACUCGACACAUUCUCUUCUGAAAAUACACAAACAAAAUAAGGAACUCGACAUAUUCUCUUCUGAAAAUGCACAUCUUGAUCUCUUGCCUAUCAACACUUUUGAGAUUCCAUAUGUGGAAUUAAAAAAAUUUGAACCUAGUCAGCAGUUGUAUCCUCCGGGGCUUCUUAAUAUUGCUCCUAAUAGCUUUCAUAAUAUUCCUACAA